rnacentral:tRNA from 1 species
AGCUCCGAAGUGUAAUCAUAUUAAAUUGCAAAUUUAAAGAAGAGGGUUAAUAUCCUCCGGGGCUU